UGGUCAAAUGAAACCCCUAAGUUUCUGACUGAAGAAUUGGAGGCAAUAUUUACACCAUCCAGGGAGACUAUCUGAUCUGAGAGAGCAUCUCUCAGGUGUUUAGGACCCAGUAUCAUGACCUCAGUUUUCUCUGGGUUCAGAAGGAGGUAAUUAAAUUGUCAUCCAGGUCUUAAUGUCUCUGAUGCAGGAAUUCAGUUUUUCUAGGUGGUCAUUCUGAUCUGGUUUAAUGGAUAAUGCCUAAAGCAUCGGGCAGUUCCCCUUGGAGGCCCCUGGUUCCUGCCUGGGCUUGAAGUAGAGUGAUGCUCAAGACAUCCAGGAGAUGGGCUCCUCGUGUGGGGCAGAUGUGUUUCUAACAUUUGGGUGUGCCUGUGGACCGGCCCUGCCCUCUUAUCUGUGUUUGGCUGUAGUAAUGUUCCUGGACCAACGGCUACCCAAUCCGUUCACGCAUGCUUAAACGGAAUCAGGUAGCUGUCUCAGAUGGUAACAACGGGAAGCAAAGAUCCUGUGGGACUUCCAGAUCCAGACGGACAGGAUGGUAAUGGAGAACCAACCAGACAUUGUAGUGGAGGAUCGAGAACAGAGGACAGCCGUUGUGGUGGAUGUUGCAGUACCAAGCCAUGGUAACAUCAAGAAGAAGGAACAUGGGAAGCUGGAGAAAUACCAGGGACUCUGAGAGGAACUGGAGGAAGCUUGGAAGGUGAAAGUCACAGUGGUGCCCGUGGUAAUUGGAGCACUCUGGGCUGUAACCUCCAAACUGGAAGAGUGGCUACAUCAGAUCCUGGAAAGACCUCAGACAUCUGAGUCCAGAAAAGAACAGGAACAGCUACGAUACUGCAGGACCCUCAAGAUCCCAGACCUCCGGUAGAGAACCCAAGAUUGGAGGAGAAACCACCCGAGUAUAUAUACACAGACUUACUGUGUGUGUACAUAUGUAUAUAUGUAUGUGUUUGUAAAUAUGUAUGUGUGUGUAUGUCUAAGUAUAUUCCUAUAUAUACUGUAGGUGUAUGUAUACAUAAAUUACACCUUUAAUAUUCUUUAACGCAAAUUAAUUACACUUUGCAAAGCAACCGUCUUCCAGUUCAAUUUGUACGGUUCAGUCUUCCAUGACGUGCAUUAAUUUCUGAUAAUGCACACUUUGUCUGGAAUUAUCCUGCUUAUCACAUAGUUGGUUAAAAAACAAACGAAUAUUCAAUCAUUUUUUAGUACUUUAGUCUUCUUAUAUUUAGUCGGCUUAGUUUGCUUUAUUUUUAAAAAGCUGACAUUGAUUCAUGGUGGGACAACGCAUCGCUGAGCCUCGACUGCAGCAGCAAAGAAAGAGAUAUAAAUGCUGAUCGUCACUACAGGUUAAAUAAGGCAUCAAAUCAGAGUGUAAGUUAACCUCUUACUGCCUUUUUUUGAUGGAGGAAAACUCUGUUUUGAAGAAACUGGUGCAGUGAUGUAGAGCAUUAGUGCGAUGUGACCGGAACUUCUUUUUUGUUAAAAGAGCUGAUUUUACUCUAAACAUGAGAAUAUUUAAACCUCAAUGUAAAAUGUCAAAGUACACUUAAAUAAAAUUAGUUAAAAUAAACUGUGUUCUUCUUGAACUCACUGACCUGGUUACCAUCAUGAUCUGAUAUGUGUGUAGAAAAGUAUGUAUGUUGACACAAAGUGAUCAAUAAACGUGAAGUUUUCCUGUUAACAAACUUAUUUAAAGUUUUACAGCUCCAAGUCUUUCUGGUUCUACAGCCUGUGGGUAAGUAGCAAUAACUUUGUUAAAAUCUGUACUUUAAGUUUGUGUAAAUAAAUCUGAACUUCUUCUGAUGUCGGCUAAAGUUCUGUGGUCAGUAAGUUUUAAAAGUUCAUAAAAUUAUGUUUUUCUCUUAGAAUAAUUCUACUUUCUAGAGGAUGUUGAGGAUAAAGGAGAAUUUGUGUUUUAAAAAAAGAUUUAAACCAUUAGAUUAUGUGAUGUUUGUAACGACUAAGAAGAUGUAUGUUAGAAGAUUUUGUGUGUCUGAUUCAUCUGCAUUUUUCCUCAGAAAUAUAGAAAUGUAAGUGAAUCUAACCUGAGCCCAGGUUACAUCCCAGAGAUCCAUGGGGAUUAACGGGAUGAUCCGGUGUGAUCGAGAACGGGGCGUGUGCCGUUUGAACCAGGAUCCAGGUCGGAGAGGGACCGUCAUGCUCGGGUGCUUCAUCUGUCUUGGUUCCUCACUGAGGGUCCACGAGGGAGUGCUCAGGCGCUGCUCUUUGGAGCUCCAGCUAAUGCUAUGCUAACAGCUCACAGGGAUCAUGGAGCAGAAGAAGCCGGACAGAAACUCAGAGAGGAUCGUGUUGGACAGAGGAGGAAGUCCCUCUGAGGGGGACUAGAAACGGAAUGACCCAUCCUGGAACUUCAGUGACGAAUACCAGAGUUUACCAAAUCUGGAGAAAACAAGGACUGGACGACUGGUUCAUGGACGAGUUAGACUGAAAAUGCUGUAACGCCGACCAUGAAUGGAUACAAGAGAACAGAUGACAUCAGCUCCAGUUUGUCCUGCUUGGAUGAGACACGGUGUGACCCCGACAUGGAAGAGAAAAGCGACUAUGUUCAAGGAGACUGAUGGAGCAUUGAGGAAUUAUCUUUUUUUUUUUGAGAAACUGCUGUUUCUGCAGCUUAAGGAGCACCAGUGAUAUUCCAAUGAAACUCAUCCUGCUGGUCAGGAACUGCAGAGCUGCUGAAAGAGAAAGAUUGUAAAAACUCGACUUGUUCUUUUGGUUUGACCUGGUUACUGGACAAGAAAAGCACAAGACUUUGAGAGAUGAAGACGACUGGAACUGAGACAAAGUUUGUGAAAAAGACAAUUAUAAUGGAGUGUGACGAUAUAUGAGACUUGUUGAACUUUGUUCAUAACUUGUCUGUGUUUUCAUGCUACUUUUACUUUGUUUUAGGUGAUGCAUCUGUAUCAUAUGUACCCCGCAGGGUUACUGCUGGACGGCGCCAGAGUAGCAAUAUAGUUUUCCCGUAUCUUAUCGACAAUAAUGUGAAAGUCAAAACUCGCCGACGGGUUUUUCAAUAUUGCACAUAUGAGUCACAGAUGCAUCCCUUUUGCUUCACAGACAGAGUUGUAUUCUAUGAGAUGUUUUAAUGGGAGCGACACACAGCAGAUAUAGUACCUCCCGAUGAGUCCAGCUUAAUGCUAAGUGGUAAUAAUGUUAUGAUCAAAGAACAUUAUGUAGUACAUUAACUUUUAAAGUUACGGUGGUGUGGCCCCUCCAGUGUGGUUAACGUUUCAGUCAUUCACAUUGUUUUACCUUUACGUUUAGUGUAUCACAACACUUUCGUAUUUCAUCUUAAAUUGUCAAACAAUUUCAAACCAAAAAUGUGUUAAAAUGUAGUUUUUGAAUAAACUAUACACAUUUUCAUCAUCAGAA